rnacentral:lncRNA from 1 species
AUCUUUAUAUCUUUUGAUCUGCUUCAUGCUGUCCCUAUAGAAGAUUAGUCCGAAUUUGAUUUCUGAUACAAUUAAUGUUAAAAGGUAAGAAAGAGUGUUCGAUGUGUAUGCACUUGGAAAACUAUUCAAUAUGACGUUGUUUGUAAGGACACUUAUGUAAUUAGAUAAACACACAAACGUGACUACUGUAAAUUCAGAGAUUAUUGCGAGGUUUUUCUUAUUGCGAAUAAUGCGACUGGAUGGGUAUCGCAAUAAUAAGAACUUGCAUUCUGAUAACUGAAACAUAGUUCUGAACGCAGUGUUUUUCGAAAUCACAAUAAUUCUCAUUUUUAUCCUGAUGAUUCUUGAAAAAUCGCAAUAAUAAAUGCACGCAAUAAUUUCUGAAUUUAUGUGUGUGUAUG